rnacentral:rRNA from 1 species
AUUGAACGCUGGCGGCAGGCCUAACACAUGCAAGUCGAACGAGUGGCGGACGGGUGAGUAAUGUCUGGGAAACUGCCCGAUGGAGGGGGAUAACUACUGGAAACGGUAGCUAAUACCGCAUACCAUCGGAUGUGCCCAGAUGGGAUUAGCUUGUAGGUGAGGUAACGGCUCACCUAGGCGACGAUCCCUAGCUGGUCUGAGAGGAUGACCAGCAAGACUGGAACUGAGACACGGUCCUGACUCCGACGGGAGGCAGCAUGGGGGAAUAUUGCACAAUGGGCGCAAGACUGAUGCAGCCAUGCCGCGUGGAUGAAGAAGGCCUUCGGGUUGUAAAGUACUUUCAGCGGGGAGGCGUUACCCGCAGAAGAAGCACCGGCUAACUCCGUGCCAGCAGCCGCGGUAAUAC